rnacentral:misc_RNA from 1 species
AAACCGAGACGCGGCGCAUGCAUGCGCUCGGCGAGUAUGGUUUGAUGCACGUCAAGCUGUACGAGGACAUCGCGCGCCACGGCCACAUCGCCACGACCUAUGCCUAUCCGGUGAAGGUGAACGACCGAUAUGUGAUGGAUCCGUCGCCGACGCCNGUUCGACAAUCCGAAAAUGGAUAACUGUGCGGCAUUGCAGCUGUUUGGCGCGGGGCGCGAG